GUGCUGGGAUUACAGGCAUGAGCCACUGCACCCAGUGUACUGUACAGAUCUUGAAUGGACAAUUCCUGGAUGUUUCUACUUUCACCUCCAUGUUUAUCUCAGCACUCUCCUUAAAUCACAUCAACCAUUAGGUUCUUACUAGAUGUAAGACACCAGGGUAUGCCUGGUGUUUUAUAAUAUUAGGUGUACAAUUAUAAAAGAUUUAUAAUCUUUAUAAAUUUAUAUUUUGGUAAUUGCACUCUAAGGAAUAGUCAUAUAAAAGGCCCCAAACUGGAGUUAAAUAAUAUUAACUAACGUUUCAGAACUAUUUGCCAAGCACUUUCAUUCAAUCCUCAUAGGACCAAGAAGAAAUACAGGGAAAUUAAAGUGCUCAAUCCAGUGGAUAAGUCACAGAACUUUGGGACUACCCAAGUCCAAUCAUGCAAACCAGGAUGUAGACUCAGAUAAACGUGACAGAAAACAGUACUCACUUGUAUUAGAAAAAAGCUGCACAAAGCCUAAAAAGGAACCUAAAGAGAAUUUGGCAAUCUUACAGUAACGUUCCCAGGAAGAGAGACUGAAUUUCAUAGAAGGAUUUCAGUCGCUAAUUCAGGCCACCACUCUGCUCUCAUUACAGGUGCUAGAAGGGUUACUAACUUCUGUCGGGGGUUCAUCAGAUUAAUUCCCAACCUGGGUAGUGGAUUCUGUCCACAUUGUCCAACUCCAUUUACUCCGAUGCCAUCUCACCAAACAGCAUUCUGGCUAUUCAGUUGGUUUCCCACAUGCCUUAAUAUGGGCAAAAGCUUCUAGACAGUGGACACUGGAAGGACUACUGCUUAACAUAAUUAUGCACGGGCAUUUUGGUUGAUCCAGCAUGGUUAGCAUGAGUCUGGGUCUGAAAGCCUGAUGAGCUAUGCACUCAGCAACCUUGUGUUUCUGCAUCCACAAAGCUAAGGGCCAGCCUCCUCUAAAGGGAUUUAUACCUUGAGAGGCCCUGCCUGAGUGGCCUACCUUCCUGCUCCCAACUCUGUUUUUUCUUUUUUCCCCCUAGAAUAUUCAGGAAGAACGAACUCAACUCUAUAAUUUGCACAGUUUCAGUGCCAGAUGAGGCUUUAUUCUGUUGUCCAUGCUGCCAGACUGGAAUGCAGUGGUAUGAUCAUAGCUCACUGCAGCCUCAACCUCCUGGGCUCAAGCAAUACUCCUGCCUCAGCCUCCUGAAUAGCUAGGACUAUGUGCAUGCACCACCACACCUGGCUAAUUUUUUUCCCCCCACUGUGGAGAUUGGGACUCGCUAAGUUGCCCAGGCUGGUCUCAAACUCCUGGACUCAAGCAAUCCUCCUGCUUCAGCCUCCCAAAGUGCUGGGAUUACAGGCAUGAGCCACCCCACCCAGCCCUGCUUUUUGAAGAAUGAAUGAUAGUCCAUUAUAUGUAUGUACCACAUUUUGGUUGUCCAUUCAUCCAUCAAUGGACACUUGGGUUGCUUCCACCUUUUGGCUAUUGUUAAUACUGCUGUGAACAUGGGUACACAACUACUUCAAGAUCCUGCUUUCAGUCCUUUUGGGUACAUACCCAGAAGUGGAAUUGCUAAAUCAUAUAGUAAUUCUAUUUUUAAUUUUUAGAGGAGUUGCCAUACCGUUUUCCAUAGCAGCUCCAUUUUAUGUUCCUACCAACAGUGUAAAAGAGUUUCAAUUUCUCCACAUCUUCAUCAACACUUCUUAUUUUCUGUUUUGAUAGUAGCCAUCCUAAUGGCUGAGGUGGUCAAAAUUUGCUUUUUACAAAUUAUGAAAAUGGGAUAAUAGCAAAUGCCUAGCACAGUGUCUAGAAGAUGGUAAAUGUUAAGUAUCAAAAAACUUUUGAUAAGAGGUAUUAAGUUAAAUAAGAGGUAUUAAGUUAAAAUCUUUGCUGUCAUAAAUGGGAAAUAUACGGCUACAUUGAAAUUUGCCAAAUCCCAAUAGUGUCUAUUAUAGAUUUCCCUCUAUGCAGGCACAUCACUAAGUUUUUACUAAGGCAUUAGCAAAUUACUGAUUAUGUAUUCACCUCCUAAAAGGAAUCUGCAGCCGAGCACAGUGGUGCACAUCUGUAAUCCCAGCUAUCCUGAAGGCUGAGGCAGGAGGCUUGCUUGAGCCCAGAAGUUUGAGGCAGUAGUGUACUAUGAUUAUGUCUGUGAAUAGCCCCCACACUCCAGCCUGGGCAACAUAGUGAGACCUAUCUAUAAAAUAAAAGAAUCUGCAAUAUAAAGGAGGCCCAGAAAAUGAAAAGCUUGAACCCAAAGAAAUAGGUCACUAUUAGUGACAUUCCAGGUGAGAUUGGAGAGGGCCCUAAAGUGAUGCCACUUAUCAGCUCAUGCCUCAGCUCCUAUUCCUCUGCUACAGGUGGCCCAUCCCCCAAGGGCACUGUGGCACAGAUGAGGUCCAAAGCAGGUUUGGUCUUUGCUAGAUCUCUAAAGGAAAUAUAAAGCCAAUUUGCUAGACAUUUACUCUUCCAAAUACAUAUCAGAGUGACUUUAGAAGUCAAAGAACCCAGAACUUUAAUAACCUUAAACAAACAAGCUCAUUCCAAUAAUUUAGCUUCCAGUCACAUAUGCAGACCCUAGGCAAAGACUUUUUUGUGGGAAAUGGGACAGGUGCUGUACUUUCAUUUCUUCCUUGCUGUGGAAAUAGACUCUUAAAAAAUGUAGAGAUGGGGUCUUGCUACAUUGUCCAGGCUGAUCUUAAACUCCUGGCCUCAAGCAAUCUUCCCACCUUGGCCUCCCUAAGUGCUGGGCUGACAGGCAUGAGCCACUAUGCCUUGCUAAGUGUUUAAUAGAAGAGUGUGAAUGGCAGAGGCAGAAGGUUUGGUGGAUCAUACAGCCUUACAGUCUCUUCAGAAACAUCACUGAUAUUUGCUGUUGAGUCAACCUAGCAACCAAUUCUUGUCCCAAAGAUAUGACACUGUUCAAAAGGCACCUCAGAGAUGCCAGUUUCAUCUCUUUUCAAUGCCCAAAACUAGAGCUUGAAAAGAUGGAUAUCUAUCAACAGACAUGAUUUGUAAUGUGUCUUUACUGUAUAUUUCAUAAAAUAUAAACACAUAAAACUUACAUAAGUAUAACAGAUAGUUGUAAACACCCUAUAAUUACUACCCAAGUCACAAAACAGAUCAAUAUUAGC
ensembl:lncRNA novel transcript, antisense to ARG2